rnacentral:rRNA from 13 species
CACACUAUCAUUAACUGAAUCCAUAGGUUAAUGAGGCGAACCGGGGGAACUGAAACAUCUAAGUACCCCGAGGAAAAGAAAUCAACCGAGAUUCCCCCAGUAGCGGCGAGCGAACGGGGAGGAGCCCAGAGCCUGAAUCAGUGUGUGUGUUAGUGGAAGCGUCUGGAAAGGCGCGCGAUACAGGGUGACAGCCCCGUACACAAAAAUGCACAUGCUGUGAGCUCGAUGAGUAGGGCGGGACACGUGGUAUCCUGUCUGAAUAUGGGGGGACCAUCCUCCAAGGCUAAAUACUCCUGACUGACCGAUAGUGAACCAGUACCGUGAGGGAAAGGCGAAAAGAACCCCGGCGAGGGGAGUGAAAAAGAACCUGAAACCGUGUACGUACAAGCAGUGGGAGCCUCUUAAUGGGGUGACUGCGUACCUUUUGUAUAAUGGGUCAGCGACUUAUAUUCUGUAGCAAGGUUAACCGAAUAGGGGAGCCGAAGGGAAACCGAGUCUUAACUGGGCGUUAAGUUGCAGGGUAUAGACCCGAAACCCGGUGAUCUAGCCAUGGGCAGGUUGAAGGUUGGGUAACACUAACUGGAGGACCGAACCGACUAAUGUUGAAAAAUUAGCGGAUGACUUGUGGCUGGGGGUGAAAGGCCAAUCAAACCGGGAGAUAGCUGGUUCUCCCCGAAAGCUAUUUAGGUAGCGCCUCGUGAAUUCAUCUCCGGGGGUAGAGCACUGUUUCGGCAAGGGGGUCAUCCCGACUUACCAACCCGAUGCAAACUGCGAAUACCGGAGAAUGUUAUCACGGGAGACACACGGCGGGUGCUAACGUCCGUCGUGAAGAGGGAAACAACCCAGACCGCCAGCUAAGGUCCCAAAGUCAUGGUUAAGUGGGAAACGAUGUGGGAAGGCCCAGACAGCCAGGAUGUUGGCUUAGAAGCAGCCAUCAUUUAAAGAAAGCGUAAUAGCUCACUGGUCGAGUCGGCCUGCGCGGAAGAUGUAACGGGGCUAAACCAUGCACCGAAGCUGCGGCAGCGACACUAUGUGUUGUUGGGUAGGGGAGCGUUCUGUAAGCCUGUGAAGGUGGCCUGUGAGGGUUGCUGGAGGUAUCAGAAGUGCGAAUGCUGACAUAAGUAACGAUAAAGCGGGUGAAAAGCCCGCUCGCCGGAAGACCAAGGGUUCCUGUCCAACGUUAAUCGGGGCAGGGUGAGUCGACCCCUAAGGCGAGGCCGAAAGGCGUAGUCGAUGGGAAACAGGUUAAUAUUCCUGUACUUGGUGUUACUGCGAAGGGGGGACGGAGAAGGCUAUGUUGGCCGGGCGACGGUUGUCCCGGUUUAAGCGUGUAGGCUGGUUUUCCAGGCAAAUCCGGAAAACCAAGGCUGAGGCGUGAUGACGAGGCACUACGGUGCUGAAGUGACAAAUGCCCUGCUUCCAGGAAAAGCCUCUAAGCAUCAGGUAACAUCAAAUCGUACCCCAAACCGACACAGGUGGUCAGGUAGAGAAUACCAAGGCGCUUGAGAGAACUCGGGUGAAGGAACUAGGCAAAAUGGUGCCGUAACUUCGGGAGAAGGCACGCUGAUAUGUAGGUGAAGCGACUUGCUCGUGGAGCUGAAAUCAGUCGAAGAUACCAGCUGGCUGCAACUGUUUAUUAAAAACACAGCACUGUGCAAACACGAAAGUGGACGUAUACGGUGUGACGCCUGCCCGGUGCCGGAAGGUUAAUUGAUGGGGUUAGCGGUAACGCGAAGCUCUUGAUCGAAGCCCCGGUAAACGGCGGCCGUAACUAUAACGGUCCUAAGGUAGCGAAAUUCCUUGUCGGGUAAGUUCCGACCUGCACGAAUGGCGUAAUGAUGGCCAGGCUGUCUCCACCCGAGACUCAGUGAAAUUGAACUCGCUGUGAAGAUGCAGUGUACCCGCGGCAAGACGGAAAGACCCCGUGAACCUUUACUAUAGCUUGACACUGAACAUUGAGCCUUGAUGUGUAGGAUAGGUGGGAGGCUUUGAAGUGUGGACGCCAGUCUGCAUGGAGCCGACCUUGAAAUACCACCCUUUAAUGUUUGAUGUUCUAACGUUGGCCCCUAAUCGGGGUUGCGGACAGUGUCUGGUGGGUAGUUUGACUGGGGCGGUCUCCUCCUAAAGAGUAACGGAGGAGCACGAAGGUUGGCUAAUCCUGGUCGGACAUCAGGAGGUUAGUGCAAUGGCAUAAGCCAGCUUGACUGCGAGCGUGACGGCGCGAGCAGGUGCGAAAGCAGGUCAUAGUGAUCCGGUGGUUCUGAAUGGAAGGGCCAUCGCUCAACGGAUAAAAGGUACUCCGGGGAUAACAGGCUGAUACCGCCCAAGAGUUCAUAUCGACGGCGGUGUUUGGCACCUCGAUGUCGGCUCAUCACAUCCUGGGGCUGAAGUAGGUCCCAAGGGUAUGGCUGUUCGCCAUUUAAAGUGGUACGCGAGCUGGGUUUAGAACGUCGUGAGACAGUUCGGUCCCUAUCUGCCGUGGGCGCUGGAGAACUGAGGGGGGCUGCUCCUAGUACGAGAGGACCGGAGUGGACGCAUCACUGGUGUUCGGGUUGUCAUGCCAAUGGCACUGCCCGGUAGCUAAAUGCGGAAGAGAUAAGUGCUGAAAGCAUCUAAGCACGAAACUUGCCCCGAGAUGAGUUCUCCCUGAGACUUAGAGUCUCCUGAAGGAACGUUGAAGACGACGACGUUGAUAGGCCGGGUGUGUAAGCGCAGCGAUGCGUUGAGCUAACCGGUACUAAUGAACCGUGAGGCUUAACCUU